UGGAGGAUGGCUCAGUCAGUAGAGCAUGAGACUCUUAAUCACAGGGACAUGGGUUCAAGACCCAGAUUGGGCAAAA